rnacentral:rRNA from 1 species
GACGAACGCUGGCGGCGUGCUUAACACAUGCAAGUCGAGCGGUAAGGCCCUUUCGGGGGUACACGAGCGGCGAACGGGUGAGUAACACGUGGGUGACCUGCCCUCAGCUCUGGGAUAAGCCUGGGAAACCGGGUCUAAUACCGGAUAUGACUCCAUGACGCAUGUUGUGGGGUGGAAAGCCUUGUGCGGCUGAGGAUGGGCCCGCGGCCUAUCAGCUUGUUGGUGGGGUGAUGGCCUACCAAGGCGACGACGGGUAGCCGGCCUGAGAGGGCGACCGGCCACACUGGGGACUGAGACAUGGCCCAGACUCCUACGGGAGGCAGCAGUGGGGAAUCUUGCGCAAUGGGCGAAAGCCUGACGCAGCGACGCCGCGUGAGGGAUGACGGCCU